rnacentral:rRNA from 1 species
GUCCGUUUGAAGAUAUAAACGGUCUGGCCUGCUCACUGAUAAGAGAAUUUAAGAGCCGCGGUAUAUUGACCGUGCAAAGGUAGCAUAAUCAUUAGGGGUUUAAUUGGAACCUGGAAUGAAGGGUUGGACAAAGGAGAAACUGUCUUUACGUUGAAAGUUGAAUUUUACCUUUAAGUGAAAAGGCUUAAAUAUAUCAAAGGGACGAUAAGACCCUAUAAAGCUUUAUAGAUAAUUUAAGUCCGGUUGAUUUCAAAAAUAAAAACUGAGUUUAAUUAUUCUAUUUUAUUGGGGUGAUAUGAGUAUAAUUGUUAUUAACUGCUUAAUAAAAAUACUGAUAUAAAAGAGUUGAUUAGUACAUGAUCCUUACUAAAGAUUAGAAAGCUAAGUUACUUUAGGGAUAACAGCGUUAUUUCUUUUGAGAGUUCAUAUCGAAAAAGAAGAUUGCGACCUCGAUGUUGAAUUAAAAUAUCUAUAUAAUGCAGCCGUUAUAAAAGAGGGUCUGUUCGACCUUUAAAUUUUU